GAUGAACGCUGGCGGCGUGCCUAAUACAUGCAAGUCGAGCGAAUGGAUUAAGAGCUUGCUCUUAUGAAGUUAGCGGCGGACGGGUGAGUAACACGUGGGUAACCUGCCCAUAAGACUGGGAUAACUCCGGGAAACCGGGGCUAAUACCGGAUAAUAUUUUGAACUGCAUGGUUCAAAAUUGAAAGGCGGCUUCGGCUGUCACUUAUGGAUGGACCCGCGUCGCAUUAGCUAGUUGGUGAGGUAACGGCUCACCAAGGCAACGAUGCGUAGCCGACCUGAGAGGGUGAUCGGCCACACUGGGACUGGUACGCGGCCCAGACUCCUACGGGAGGCAGCAGUAGGGAAUCUUCCGCAAUGGACGAAAGUCUGACGGAGCAACGCCGCGUGAGUGAUGAAGGCUUUCGGGUCGUAAAACUCUGUUGUUAGGGAAGAACAAGUGCUAGUUGAAUAAGCUGGCACCUUGACGGUACCUAACCAGAAAGCCACGGCUAACUACGUGCCAGCCGCCGCUGUAA
rnacentral:rRNA from 1 species